ACGAACGCUGGCGGCGUGCUUCACCCAUGCCAGUCGCACGGAAAGGCCCUGCUUUUGUGGGGUGCUCGAGUGGCGAACGGGUGAGUAACACGUGAGUAACCUGCCCUUGACUUUGGGAUAACUUCAGGAAACUGGGGCUAAUACCGGAUAGGAGCUCCUGCUGCAUGGUGGGGGUUGGAAAGUUUCGGCGGUUGGGGAUGGACUCGCGGCUUAUCAGCUUGUUGGUGGGGUAGUGGCUUACCAAGGCUUUGACGGGUAGCCGGCCUGAGAGGGUGACCGGCCACAUUGGGACUGAGAUACGGCCCAGACUCCUACGGGAGGCAGCAGUGGGGAAUAUUGCACAAUGGGCGGAAGCCUGAUGCAGCAACGCCGCGUGCGGGAUGACGGCCUUCGGGUUGUAAACCGCUUUCGCCUGUGACGAAGCGUGAGUGACGGUAAUGGGUAAAGAAGCACCGGCUAACUACGU
rnacentral:rRNA from 1 species